AAUAUUGCGCAAUGGAGGGAACUCUGACGCAGCGACGCCGCGUGAGCGAUGAAGGUCUUCGGAUCGUAAAGCUCUGUCCUUGGGGAAGAAGGUCUUCGGACUUGACGGUACCUAAGGAGGAGGCCCCGGCUAACUACGUGCCAGCCGCCGCGGGAAUACGUAGGGGGCAAGCGUGGUCCGGAAUUAUUGGGCGUAAAGGGUGCGUAGGCGGCCUUUUAAGUCAGAUGUGAAAGCCCACGGCUCAACCGUGGGAUUGCAUUUGAAACUGGAGGGCUUGAGUAUCGGAGAGGGUAGUGGAAUUCCCAGUGUAGCGGUGAAAUGCGUAGAUAUUGGGAGGAACACCAGUGGCGAAGGCGACUACCUGGACGAUUACUGACGCUGAUGCACGAAAGCUAGGGGAGCAAACA
rnacentral:rRNA from 1 species